rnacentral:rRNA from 1 species
GAUGAACGCUGGCGGCGUGCCUAAUACAUGCAAGUCGAGCGAACAGACGAGGAGCUUGCUCCUCUGACGUUAGCGGCGGACGGGUGUGUAACACGUGGAUAACCUACCUAUAAGACUGGGAUAACUUCGGGAAACCGGAUCUAAUACCGGAUAAUAUAUUUAACCGCAUGGUUCAAUAGUAAAGGACGUUUUUGCUGUCACUGAUAGAUGGAUCCGCGCCGCAUUAGCUAGUUGGUAAGGUAACGGCUUACCAAGGCAACGAUGCGUAGCCGACCUGAGAGGGUGGUCGGCGACACGGGAAGUGGGCCGCGGACCAGGCUACUAAGGGAGGGAGCAGUAGGGAACCUUACGCAGUAGGCGAGAACCUGACGGAGCAAGGGCGAGUGAGUGAUGAAGGUGUUGGGAUCGUAAAACUCUGUUAUUAGGGAAAAACAAAUGUGUAAAUAAAUAUGCACGUAUUGACGGUACCUAAUCAGAAAGCCACGGCUAACUACGUG